rnacentral:ncRNA from 1 species
AAUAGGCUUGGUCCUGGCCUUUCUAUUGACUCUCAGCAAGAUUACACAUGCAAGCAUCCCCAUUCCGGUGAAGACGCCCUUCCCAUCAACAUGACCAGAAGGAGCAAGUAUCAAGCACGCCCAUGCAGCUCAAAACACUUUGCCCAGCCACACCCCCACGGGAGACAGCAGUGACAAACCUUUAGCAAUGAACGAAAGUUUAACUAAGCUAUGCUAUGCCAGGGUUGGUCAACUUCGUGCCAGCCACCGCGGUUAUACGAUUAACCCUAGCCAAUGGAAACCGGCGUAGAGGGUGUUUUAGAUCUAGUCCAAUAAAGCUAAACCCCAUCUAAACUGUAAAACCCUAGCUAACGUAAAAUAAACUACGAAGGUGGCUUUAUAACUCCUGAACACACAAUAGCCAAGACCCAAACUGGGAUUAGACACCCCACUAUGCUUGGCCCUAAACCUCAAUAGUUAAAAUAACAAAACUAUUCGCCAGAAUACUACAAGCAACAGCUUAAAACUCAAAGGACUUGGCGGUGCUUCAUACCCCCUAGAGGAGCCUGUUCUGUAAUCGAUAAACCCCGAUCCACCCCACCCUCUCUUGCUUAGUCUAUAUACCGCCAUCUUCAGCAAACCCUGAUGAAGGCUACGAAGUGAGCGCAAAUGCCCUCCCCGCAAAAACGUUAGGUCAAGGUGUAACUUAUGAGACGGUAAAAAUGGGCUACAUUUUCUACUUCAGAAAACCCCACGAUAGCUCUUAUGAAAUCUAGGAGCCCAAGGAGGAUUUAGCAGUAAAUUAAGAAUAGAGUGCUUAAUUGAACUAGGCCAUAAAGCACGCACACACCGCCCGUCACUCCCCUCAAAUAUAUUUAAGGAAUAACUUAACUAAAUGCCCUAACAUUUAUAUAGAGGGGAUAAGUCGUAACACGGUAAGUGUACUGGAAGGUGCACUUGGAUAAAU